UACGUAGGGGGCUAGCGUUGUCCGGAAUCAUUGGGCGUAAAGAGCGUGUAGGCGGCCCGGUAAGUCCGCUGUGAAAGUCGAGGGCUCAACCCUCGAAUGCCGGCGGAUACUGUCGGGCUAGAGUCCGGAAGAGGCGAGUGGAAUUCCUGGUGUAGCGGUGAAAUGCGCAGAUAUCAGGAGGAACACCUACGGCGAAGGCAGCUCGCUGGGACGGUACUGACGCUGAGACGCGAAAGCGUGAGGAGCAAACAGG
rnacentral:rRNA from 1 species